rnacentral:rRNA from 1 species
UACGUUCCCGGACCUUGUACACACCGCCCGUCAAGCCAUGGAAGCCGGGGGUACCUGAAGACGGUGAUCCGUUAAACUGGAAGCUGUCUAAGGUAAAACUGGUGACUGGGACU